rnacentral:rRNA from 1 species
GACGAACGCUGGCGGCGUGCUUAACACAUGCAAGUCGAACGGAAAGGCCCUGCUUUUGUGGGGUGCUCGAGUGGCGAACGGGUGAGUAACACGUGAGUAACCUGCCCUUGACUUUGGGAUAACUUCAGGAAACUGGGGCUAAUACCGGAUAGGAGCUCCUGCUGCAUGGUGGGGUUGGAAAGUUUCGGCGGUUGGGGAUGGACUCGCGGCUUAUCAGCUUGUUGGUGGGGUAGUGGCUUACCAAGGCUUUGACGGGUAGCCGGCCUGAGAGGGUGACCGGCCACAUUGGGACUGAGAUACGGCCCAGACUCCUACGGGAGGCAGCAGUGGGGAAUAUUGCACAAUGGGCGGAAGCCUGAUGCAGCAACGCCGCGUGCGGGAUGACGGCCUUCGGGUUGUAAACCGCUUUCGCCUGUGACGAAGCGUGAGUGACGGUAAUGGGUAGAGAAGCACCGGCUAACUACGUG